UACGGAGGGUGCAAGCGUUGUCCGGAAUCACUGGGCGUAAAGGGCGCGUAGGCGGCUCAUGAAGGCUGUGGUGAAAGUCCGGGGCUCAACCUCGAGACGUCGGUUGAAACCGUCUGGCUAGAGUCCGGAAGAGGAGAGUGGAAUUCCCGGUGUAGCGGUGAAAUGCGCAGAUAUCGGGAAGAACACCCGUGGCGAAGGCGGCUCUCUGGGACGGUACUGACGCUGAGACGCGAAAGCGUGGGGAGCGAACAGG
rnacentral:rRNA from 1 species